CGCAAAGGGAAAAUUUGCUUGAAAUCACGUCGGAAAUAACCUUCUCAAGGCCUGUCUACUUCGCAUGAAACACCUUGUACAUGAAAUCAUCGAGACAGGAGGAGAAGAGAAUAAGUACAUGAAGGUUAACAUCAAUGAUUUUCUCACCAGUUGUCCGACAGGCCGAUAAACAUUUGCCCUCGAUCAGAUUUCGUAUCGAGGCGACAUCCAGUUGAGCGGCUGGCAUCGACAUCCACGUCCAGAGGUUAACAACCCUCGAGUACUACAGAUAUCUACGUGGAAUCGUGGAUGGAAAUUCGGUACUCUCUUCGAAAAUCGAUGAAACAUCGACAAUAUCGUAUUUCAAUUUUUAAUUCUGUUUCUUUAACGGAUAAAAAAGCAUUCGUGUAAGAGAAUUUCGUAAUGGACAUUAAAAAUUUCGUAACGCGACGCUAGCGCCACGCGACCAUUAAACUAUUAGCAGUUUAUUAAAUUUAUCUAGUUAUUUAUCUAUCUUUCUAUUUUUUCGAAUAUUAAAAUUACAGUAGAAUUUUUAUAUUCGUCGUAUCAUUUUUAUUACGAUGAGAAAAUACUUGGACAUUUAUCAAAAGAAUCUAAUAUUCCUUACCAAAAGUUUCUUACUUGUCUUAAGUUCCUUUCUUAUACUUUUCCAAUAAAAAUUAAAUUUCCACUUAAAAUUCGAAGCUGAAAAUCUUUUAUUGAUUAUUAAUUUUUUCCCUUUAUUAUUAUUCUUUCCUAUUGAAAAAAUUAAUUUAACUUAACUUAAUUAAACUUAAUUUUCUUCUGAAAAUCGUUAAUAUACAAAAACCCCACAUGCAAAGAUACAACACUUCGAUUAAAACGUAGCGCGACGGUAGAAAAAGUGAAGAAACUCGGGAAAACACGGGGAGGGAUUCACGGGACACCGUGUGUCUCGGUUAUUCAUAUUUUAUUCGGUCUCGACCCGGUCGGGUCGUGGGCCGCUCUGGGUUCUCGGCACUCGGGGCGGUCGGUAUAUUUCUAAAAAUAGUGGUGCAUCGAAUAACGAGCCGGCCGCGCGCCGCGAACAGUUGAAGUUUGCAUUGUGAACGCGUACAGUCCUGUAUACUGUACUGCUCUACUCCCAUGUAACCGAAGAUUUGACCCAAUGACCCAACGGACGGAGCCGAAACUAGGCGGAAACGGCCGAUCUCCUGUUUCGCCCGCCUCUCACUCUGUCUCUUGUGCACCCACUGGUAAUCGCUCUUUUUCUCUCUCUCGCUUCUUUGCACUGUUUUACACUCGUAUCUUUCUUCCGUUCACCUUAGUAAGUACUUCGACCGUGUUCAUUUUUCCGACAAACUGGUCAAUAACCACCGUAUAAAUUUUGCUUUAGUUCGCACGAGGCCUUGAACAUCGAUUAUCAGGGUCAUAUGUGAUUGUUGUGAAAGUUGAACAACUGCAAUAGAGGUUUAUAGUAAUUAUAUGUGUCUGGUGUUUAUCGUUCUCGUUUCGAUGAAGUAUGGAAUGAAAAAAAUUCUCGAUAUUGAAAUGAAGAAUCAAUUCCGCUAUUUAUUGCAGGAAAUUUUACAUGUUUAAUUUAUUGUUCGAAUAUCGAAAUAUUUCUUAACGUACUAUGAAAAGAAUGACGUUCUAUUUACUAUUAAAUUCUGGUACUCUUUUCGAGUACUGAUCCAUAUUUUGAUCCAUUGGGAUUAAAAAUCUAUUUCACUAUUCUCCAAGUUUCCAAUUUAUAUCCCGAUUUUCGAGCAAUUAUACAGGAUUCAGGGUUCAUAUAUUCGUGAAGUUCUCUAAUCUUUAGAAUUUGAAUGUUCCAAUGUUUGAAUAUAUUAACAUAUUUUGUAUAUUAAAUAUUUGUACGGUUAGAUCCACUUUGAUGCAUAUCGAGAUAACAAGGCAGGUUAAGUUUCGCUACUGUUGCCAUUAAUGUUACUAUUGUUACCUGCUGCGUGCAUCGUCUAUUCAAUCGAGUAGUCUGUCCUUGCCUAUAGAUAUCAUCGAUUAAACCGUUAACAAUUGCGACCGCGAAAAAAAUACGUCUACCUACUUUGCAUGGGAUACCUCCGGUAAUGAACGAUGUUUCAAGGUUAUUGAUGAAGAUCCUUCCGCCAGUGCUGUUCUUAAAGGGUGCAAUAAUUGCCCCCAAAUUUGUAUAAUUCUUUUUCGUCAAAUUGAAUUUUGAAUAUAAAUAAAAAUGGUAAAAAUUUAUUGUCUUUUUUAAUAUUAAAAAAAAAGAAUUCAAUCUAAUUCUCCGUUCAAUCACGAAACAAAUUUUUCAAUGUCUUUACAGUCGAAUGAAUUUUUAAACGUUUUUUGAGAUACGAAAAUAUUUGUAUUUUUCUAUUUUGCUAUAUUGUUAUAAAAAUAUCUUUGAAAAAAAUGAACUAAGGACUGUGAAAAUAAAAAUUUCAUUUUUAAAUCAGAUCGAUUAUUGUAUAAUUUUUUUUUUUUAAGUUUAAAAUAUCAAUUUUUUACUUAUACUUUUUUAUAUCUCUGUAUGUUUAUUAAAAUGAAAGUUAGCUUUAUCUUUAAGGUGAAAACGAUGAAAUAUCUCGUUAAACUAUUUUUCAAUCGAAAAAUGAUUGGAAGGAUCGAUCCGAGUCGAUGGAAUACGAUCUUCACCACACCUAGAAGAACUGGGAGGAACGAAAAUUUACAUUGAUCGACGUGCGAACCGUGUAUAUAUUGCGAUCGAUAUCACGUGCCAGUAUUAUAAGAAUGGUGAGUGGGUGUGUUGUGGAAGGUGCAUUAAGAGAGCAGCAUCAACUGACAUUGAUACUAACGUGAUUGACAAGAUAUUAUUAACGAGAAACGAAAUGAAAAUAAUCUAUAAUACGAUCUUCUUAAAUUAUAUAUAUUUAUCAAAACUAUUGAAAUACUAUGUUCAAUUAUUUUAUUAUUAUUCCAAAAACUUAAUUUCUUGUAUUUUGAAAAUUAUUUAAAAAUUAGGAAAUUAAGAACUAUUGAAACAGUUCUAUUUACACAUAGUUCAAUUGUUCUAUGUUAAGAAUUUAAUUUUUUUAAAAAUUUAUAAAAACGAAAUAUUAGAAAAUUAUUAGAUUAGAUCCAAUUCUUCUAUAUAAGAAUUCCUCGUACUUUGAAAAUUAUUUAAAAUAAUGUUAAAAAAUUAUUAGCUUUUAUUAUUAUUUAGAAUAUGAAAAUAAAAACAAAAAUUGUGGAGAUCGAAGAAAAACUUUCGAACGAUACUUUCACAAACUUAAACAAUUCUCAAAAUAUCAAGCUGGACCUAUUUAUCUUCAUAAUUAAAUCGAAAAAAGAAUGAAAAACUUUGAAACAAUAUUUUCUAGAAUUCUAACCGCACGAACUUCCUGUUUCUCAAAAAAACAAUCGAACAAAGAAGAAUACACAUCGUUCAGCAUGAAAAUUUCUUUAAUAAACAAAAGGAAAAAAAAGACAGAGAGAAAAGAACCUUGUAUUUUUAUCGGCAUGAAAAUCGGCGUGGCAAACAUUCGACGGGGGGAAAACGAAUAGUUUUUAUCGAAAAUCGACAUUCUCCAAUCUAACAAAUAACCGUUGCCAGGAAACACGACUCCGUUGCCCUUUACCGUCGUAACGAAUUCAGUUUCUCCAUUUGAGUCGAAAAUGUAAAUUCUCGUUCUUCAAUUUUUUCUUAACAUGUAUAAAGUUUUCUACGAUUUCCACGAGCCCCAAAGGCCCAAUAUUAUUGCCCCAAUGUUCCAAUCAAUUUUUCAUAUUGCCGCGUAUUCCUUUCUUUCUCUCCCGUCUUCUCGAAUUAUUAAGCGUUCCGUGAUGCAACAACUGUGCAAACACUCGCGUAUGGACGGUAGCCCCUUGCAAGAGAAGGAGGAGGAAAAGAUAAGUUACAGCGAGGCUUCAAGAUACGGACGCGUUCGCACUCGUGGUAAUUUUCCGCUAUUUUUGCACGAGCCUCUCCUCUUUCGUUCUUUCACUUUCUUUUUACUCUCUUUAUUUCCGGUUUCACGCGUUUUAAAUAAUACGUUGCGGAUUUAGUAGUGUGGGCAAGGAUAAAAUUGAGAAAAAAAUCUAGAAUGUUUAUAUACACGUGGAUUGAUUCUAGA